CUCGCUUGGCUGGUUCUUCCGCCUAGAAUUUAGUUCACGUGUUCUUGCUCGUGCCAGCGAACGAUUCAGCCCACCCCUCUAGAUUUGUUUCAUGAACUUGGUAAUACAUACAUUGCACAUUGCGUGAAACAAUUGCGACACAUCCAUCUCUGAACAAGAUCUACAUCUAGAUUGCAGAUGAUACGAUUCUCUGUUUUUUCACAUUGAAAUCAUGCUUACAUGUCACAACAGUAUCUUCCUAAUUGAUGCCCUGCUAGAUGUUUGCAAGAUCGAAGGUAACAUGGAGUUGCUCUUACAGUACAAUAAUACAGCUUGCUUUUUUGGUAGUGCUUCAUUGGGAAAGGUGUGACAGAUUAUGUGUUUCAUUCUCUUAUCUGUCAGUUUUCCCCGCUGACUUGAAUUGAGUAUUGAUUGGAUUCGUUAGUUCUUCCUACUAUCCUAAUUGAUUUAUAUGCAUAAAUUGUUAUUUGAGCAGGAGAUUAGCUGAUGUGUCUAGGUGUGCCAUUCUGUCAUAUAUAUAUAAACUAAUACUUGCAUCUUUAUCAUCUUGGAUCGUGAUUCCUAUUUUGUGCAUUAAGGAAACAAUACGUAUGAAAAUAUGCACUUUUAUUUACUUUAAAUAUAUUGACGAAGUGCUUCAGUUUUAGCUACAAUUUUAGUUCCCUUUUGUACUUCAGUUAGGUCCUUAUGUCUACAAGGAGAGCAGUUAUUACUUAAAGUUCUGAAUUGGUGUGCAUAUAGUACAGUGAUAUGUACCUCUAACUGGUUCUUCCAUUUCAUUUCUGUCCUCCCUUUAGAUUGAGUAAAUUGAUGAAAACCUGCUUCUUUUUUUGCUUUAUCUCUUCCUUUACUGUAUGACAUGAGAAGACAAAAAAUCAACCAGCUGAUGCCAUUUAAACGACGUUUGUGGUUUGUAAAAUAAUAUAAUUAAUGCAUCAGAUAUAGAAUUGGUCCCGGAUUAACUCCAAAUAGUCUGUUCUCCAACUUUGUUACUUAGGUUUUCCCCCAUGAUCAGUGGGUCGCUGCUGAUUUGAUCCUGGUGAAGUGUGUUGGGCUAGGAGGGGGGCGGUGACAUUGAUGCUUACUUGAGGACAAAGAUCGCUUGAGAACGGAUAGAAGAGCUGAUGCAUGCAAGAUAAUAGUAGCUUGCCAAGGCAAAUACAAUGUAAGACUUCACACCAGACAAUUCCAUUGAUAAUUUCAGAGGACGGUUGAAGGAAGGUUCAGUUUACAUGUUUGAGAUGUUCAACGUGUGAUUCAUAUUUUCCGUCUCAUGUACAUGAGUUUGCUUCUUCGCUGGCGUGGUAUUAUGUGCUUUCGGAUUUACCAUCUGGUCUGCAUUGAGAUGGGCAUGAAUGCGUGAUGUUUGGGUCACUGUCUCUUGGAGUUUUCUCUAUCUUUUUUUUAUACAAUUUCUAGUUGUCAACAGACGUUACCUGUGUGUUAUAGUAGUCUUUUAACUUUUAAACUUGUUGCAUGAUCUGGAUGCUAGUUAUUAAGUAGUCCCUGAAUUAUUUACUUUUGCUAAAUGAUUUCAAUGCUUGUUUCUAAAGAACAUGAUCUGCAUCUAGUGUUUCAUUUCGUUACUGUUACACAUGUCCUACUCUAAAUAGACUAGGCCUUCCGUUUUAAGUUGACUUAAUUGCACAGUUCUGCCAGUCAACUACUAUACAAUCCAGUUUCAGUUCUUUUUGCUAUUUAAUUACUUCUAUUGUAUUAUAUGCCAUCUAUAAUAAGCAGCAACUUGUUUUACAUUUCUUCUCUUUAUUUACAUAAGCUUGUGCUUUCAUUUCUAUACAUGCCUUCUGUAAUAAGCGUUACAGGACCUUCUUUUGAAUAUAACAUGAUGAGAAGUUAAUUUAACUUCUCAUCAUGUCAUAUUCAAACAGUGCAAUAGUAUAUAUAUAUUAACUCUCUGAUUGUUGUGUCUUGCUGUGCAGAAGAGUUUGCUGUGUACGUUCGUUGAUGCUUAUUUUACUUGGGUUGACCUGAAGCGUUGUUUCUGGGUGGUGUAGGAUGAGUUGCUGCGGAACAACCUGGAGGUGGAGAGCCUGAAGAUAACUCGUGCAACAUCAUUGUCUGGCAAGAUGCAUGCUGGAGAACCUGAAGACAACUCUAAUGAAUCUGUAGUACAAAUAUGAAUCUGUUGUUAGUGUCUUUCUUGUAUAUAUAUCUGAUUUGUGGAAAUAUUGUAAUAUAUUCAGUUACUGCUCUUAUAUGGAAGAUUUCAUCAUGUGUUGAUGUUUA